GGUUGUAGGCUCUGGUUGAACCUGACGGGGUCCCAGCCUGAAGUUGCACCCAGGCGUGGGGCACACAUUUGGGUGAAGAAAUUGUUCCGGAACUACAGGAUGGGAGGUGCUGGGUGCUCUGUGAUUUGAUUGUAGUGGGUCGGGGGUUCUGGAUAAGUCCUGCAGGGCAGGGUCAUGGCCAGUGCCUGUUUCUGUUCUUCCUUCUUUCUUUCCUCCUUCUCCCUGCCCUGGCCCCACCAUGUGAGACAUCCAGGAAUCCCACCAAGCAAGGACAGAGAUGAAAGAGGCGCACCAUCCGUGCAAAGAUGAAGAGCCCAGGCUAAGGGAAGUGCCGAGACUUGGCAGCAGGGCUGGGACCCAGGCCUUCUGCUUCGGGGUUCUGGGCAGGAUGGUCUUCAGUGAUAGCCAAGGAGGCUUCGGCCCUGGAGUCACCAC
rnacentral:lncRNA from 1 species